rnacentral:rRNA from 1 species
UAUCAGAUUGAAACACCAGUUCUCAUACUAUCACCAAAGUUAAGCAAUGUCAAGCCUGGUCAGUACCUAGAUGAGUGGCCACUUGGGAAUACCAGGUACUGUAAG